AAAGGUUUCUUCAGGCUAGACAGAGAUUAGCCAUCAAGUGCAAAGGCAUAAGGGAGUUUGAUUGCAAGACCCACUUGUCAAGCAAGGAUGAAAGUCG
rfam:Gossypium hirsutum cultivar TM-1 chromosome 10, whole genome shotgun sequence